GACGAACGCUGGCGGCGUGCUUAACACAUGCAAGUCGAACGGAAAGGCCCUGCUUUUGUGGGGUGCUCGGGUGGCGAACGGGUGAGUAACACGUGAGUAACCUGCCCUUGACUUUGGGAUAACUUCAGGAAACUGGGGCUAAUACCGGAUAGGAGCUCCUGCUGCAUGGUGGGGGUUGGAAAGUUUCGGCGGUUGGGGAUGGACUCGCGGCUUAUCAGCUUGUUGGUGGGGUAGUGGCUUACCAAGGCUUUGACGGGUAGCCGGCCUGAGAGGGUGACCGGCCACAUGGGGACUGAGAUACGGCCCAGACUCCUACGGGAGGCAGCAGUGGGGAAUAUUGCACAAUGGGCGGAAGCCUGAUGCAGCAACGCCGCGUGCGGGAUGACGGCCUUCGGGUUGUAAACCGCUUUCGCCUGUGACGAAGCGUGAGUGACGGUAAUGGGUAAAGAAGCACCGGCUAACUACGUG
rnacentral:rRNA from 1 species